AAUAUUCGUCAAUGGAGGCAACUCCGAACCUGCCAAGUCGCGUGAAGGAUGACGGCCCUAAGGGUUGUAAACUUCUGUUUUAUGGGAAUAAAGUGAGCCACGUGUGGCUUCUUGUAUGUAGCUUACGAAUAACGUUCGGCCAACUCCGUGUCAGUAUCAACGGUAACACGGAGGAUCCGAGCGUUAUCCGGAUUUAUUGGGUUUAAAGGGUGCGCAGGCGGAAUAUUAAAUCGGCGGUGAAAGUUUGCAGCUUAACUGUAAGAUUGACGUUGAUACUGGUAUUCUUGAGUGUAUAUGAAGUAGGCGGAAUUUGUAGUGUAGCGGUGAAAGGCAUAGAUAAUACAAGGAACCCCGGUUGCGAAGGCAACUUACUAAAUUACAACUGACGCUUAGGCACGAAGGCGUGGGUAUCAAACA
rnacentral:rRNA from 1 species